ACAAGUAAACUCAAGACCUCCGACACCGUGGGACUUACCUCCGGACCGGAAGGAGAGGGGAGGGGAGGAAGAUGUAACAGCCCGGGUAUUUUACUCACGACCGGCGGAUGGUAAACAGAGCCGGGGGUAACUAACGGCGGCCAUCAUGUUUUCUUGUCGUCCGUGGCGAUAUAAAGCAGAAAUGGCGCGCGCCCCCCCCCAGUCCCCAAAUGUGCGCAGUUUACAAACUCAGGUGGUUGUGCGCACCUGCGGCUUUUCCCUGCACGCAACCGUUUCCUGUUCACCCGACCUCCGACACCGUCACAGAGCCGGCCCCAAGUUGUGACUCAGCUCAAUGGUCCCGUCCAGUCGGCUCCUCAGGAAUCCCUCUCCUCGUCCAGAGAGAGGUCGCCGCUGUCUCCAUCGAAAACCUUCAUCAGCACCGACUGCCCAGGCUCCACUGGUGGGUGAACCCUCUACUGACGUCACAGUAACAUCAUGUCAUGCGUCGUCAGUAUCCUUCAGGCUUGACAAGGAUGUUUUUCAACGCUACAGUUCAAUUUCCUUCCACAUUUAUCAUUUGCGGUGCAGAUCGUCCAUUCCUCAUUCCUGUCGAUCAGCAGACCGUGUUCUGCAUCGCCUGCGUGCUCUUGCAUUUGCAUGUUGUUCUCAUGUGUGCACCAUAAAUAAAAACACAACAGGGACCCGCUCAGAUGCACAUCAUCCUCAGAGCUGCUAGGGGGCAGAAAGUUACACAACCACAGUGCAGUGAAUCAAAGAGUCAAACAUUUAAACGGAAAAGAAAGAAAAGAAUAAAAAGAAUAAAAAGACAAACAUUAUACCCAGCUAAAAAACUGAGGCUGAAUUUGUUCUUAUGUUUUUUAUUUAUAGUUAUUUAUUUUUAUAGUUAUUUUAUUUAAUUCCCAGUCAAGUUUCCAGUGCACUGAUGUCAUUUUGGACAAUAAAGUUUAUCAUCACAUUAUUAUA